UACAGAGGAGGCAAGCGUUGUUCGGAAUCACUGGGCUUAAAGCGCGUGUAGGCGGCCGUCAAGUACCUUGUGAAAUCCCUCGGCUCAACCGGGAAUGGCUGGUAUACUGACAGCUUGAGGUUGGUAGGGUGCCUGGAACUCUAGGUGGAGCGGUGAAAUGCGUAGAUAUCUAGAGGAACGCCCGUGGCGAAAGCGGGGCACUGGCCACACCUGACGCUAAGACGCGAAAGCGUGGGGAGCAAACGGGG
rnacentral:rRNA from 1 species